GACGAACGCCGGCGGCGUGCUUAACACAUGCAAGUCGAACGGAAAGGCCCUGCUUUUGUGGGGUGCUCGAGUGGCGAACGGGUGAGUAACACGUGAGUAACCUGCCCUUGACUUUGGGAUAACUUCAGGAAACUGGGGCUAAUACCGGAUAGGAGCUCCUGCUGCAUGGUGGGGGUUGGAAAGUUUCGGCGGUUGGGGAUGGACUCGCGGCUUAUCAGCUUGUUGGUGGGGUAGUGGCUUACCAAGGCUUUGACGGGUAGCCGGCCUGAGAGGGUGACCGGCCACAUUGGGACUGAGAUACGGCCCAGACUCCUACGGGAGGCAGCGGUGGGGAAUAUUGCACAAUGGGCGGAAGCCUGAUGCAGCAACGCCGCGUGCGGGAUGACGGCCUUCGGGUUGUAAACCGCUUUCGCCUGUGACGAAGCGUGAGUGACGGUAAUGGGUAAAGAAGCACCGGCUAACUACGUG
rnacentral:rRNA from 1 species